rnacentral:lncRNA from 1 species
AGGAAAGCAUUCUGGGAAAUGUAGUUCCUGCUUCGCCUAGCGGGCUACAAAGAGCUGCACCGUCUGACAUUCAGAUGAUAAAUAGUUUGCACCUGAGCCAGGCUUGCGUUACUUCCGUGACUUCAGUCUUUGCUCUCCUACCCUCUCACUUACUAGCUGAGCGCUCUGGGGGAGGUUAUCUAACCUUCCUGAGCCUCGUAUUCCUCAUACCGAAAACGGAGGUAACCAGAGUAACUACAUCCAAAAAUUGAGAGAACUGAAUGAGAUAAAUAAGGCGAGGUGUUUUUAACACGUCCUGCACAUGCAUUACUUUAUAUUUUAGAAGACAAUACCAUGAUCAUGAAAUCACUGGAGAAAUCUGCCGGGGAAGGGCUGUGAGGAUAGUCUCAUCUGUAACGCAUGUGUCCUCCAGAAAAAAAGUAUAUGGCUUUCAGACUAAAUUUUACUCCUUAUCCAAAUGGAAAGAAUAUCUAAAGAGACAAAGUGUAAUAAUCCAAGAAUCUUCUAUUGUGAGAAUAAUGGAGAUUGACAUUGUGAAGUAUAUAGAAAAACAUAAAAGGACCUGCCUGUGGUUAUUGUCAUACCAGUGCAGAACUCUGGUUCAAUAUCCUGUCUGGGAAGUAGCCUCUACCGGAUGCUUCCAAAGAAGGGCAAAACCACCCAUAAUGCAAUUGGAUGGAUAUGCAAUUCUAUACCCCUGAGGGAAAACACUUCAUCCUGGCCCCAGGUGAACUUCUUCCUCCUCUCCCCCCACCCCACCCCAGCUACGUGGAGAAAUGGCCACAGCUGCUUCUCUUUUGUCUGCCAGGGGCGCCAGGCAUAUCUCUUCUCACACAUGCUUGAGUGACUGCCAGCCAUCUCCCUGUAAGAAGGUCUGCAUAGGGAAAUAAGCACUACUGAACGGAGACCAAUUAUUAGAUGGCACUGUUGCGAUUCCAGCCAAGCAAGAGAGAAGCAGUGCUGUAAGACAGAAGAAAAUAAUCAAGAAAUUCAUUUUGGACCCUCGUGGUUGUGUCUCCAAACUACAAGCAGUGGUUUAGAACAGGCGGAGUAGGAUAAGAGCAAUGAUGGCAAGAACUGAAGGCUGGGGACAGGAGCGUCACCAAGGGAGAAAGGAGUGAAGAGGAAAACAGUGCAAACUCCUGAAGAUCCAGUUGGAAGGAAGAGAAAUCAGAUGAAUUAUAAUCAACCAUUUUCACUGCAUUUCCAAGAAUGAAAAAUUAAGAUAAUAAAUAGACAAAUUUACAACCACAGAAUAUCAUGUUUAAAAGAUUCUGUAGGAAAAAAGAAAUAUGAUUUCAUUAAAACAUUGACUUUAAAAUAGACAUAUUAAGAUAGAAAUAUCAAACCAAAUUAUGAACAUUAAAACAAACUAUUUUUAGGAAUAAUUCUAGGUUGGGCCUUCAAUUUUACAUCAGUGAUUUUAUUUUGGAGUGAUUUGGAUUUUUUGUCUCUAGACCAGCACAAGUGGAUUAUUAUCAUUCAGUCUUUGAAAGGAGAAGAUACAGUUUCCAGUCACUAAUUUACAAUAUUGUUCUAUCAGUAUCUUCCAUGAGAGGUGAUUUAAUAAAUUUUUUCUCAAUGUGAAAAGAUCCAGGAGACCCUGUUGCAUGUACUGGAAAAUAAGUUUGUUGAGGAUUUAUUUAUAUAUUUCUCAUAAUAACUUCCGAACUUGAGAAAAUGUUUGUCAUUUCAGCACAAAGGGCCAAAAGAGUGCCACAUUAUGAAAAGACUAUCUUGGGAAAGAAUGAAUCUUAGAAUCAUAUAUUUAUAUGUUUGUCUUUCAUUUUUAGAUUUGAUCACUUGAAUUUUAUUUUUAUAUGGUACCUAACAGGAGUACACAUUCUUUUAUUUCCCAUUAUUACAAGUAAAAGUGGAUCACAAUAAGAGGCUAUUACAAGAAUUUAAUAGAUUUUAUACUUCUAUUGAGCCAAUAGGCAUGCUCUAUGAUUCAUGUAAGUUUAGGAGGUAUU